rnacentral:rRNA from 1 species
AUGAGAGCUCUAUUCUAGAAUAUAAGGGGUUUCGGUGCUAGGGGGCGCCGCGACCAGCUUAAGGAUUUAGUUAGAGGUGAGAAUAUUGACAUUAUCGGGUUGGUUGAGACGUUCAAGGACUCCUUUUCUCCCAACGAACUCUCUGCCGUUGCGGGGAUGGAUAGCUUUGACUGGAACUAUCUUCCUACUUCGGGCCAUUCGGGUGGGAUUCUCAUUGGCACUAAACGUGAUCUAUUUGAUUUUGUGGCUUUCGAUCAUGGAGUUUUUUGGGCUAGCACAGUUGUCCACCAUCUGCUUUUUAACACUCUCAGGGAAAUUAUGGUUGUGUAUGGGCCUGCUGAUCAUUCUCUAUCUUUGCUUUUCCUUGAUGAGAUCACGACCAAAAUUGAGUCUUAUACCCUGCCUAUUUUGGUGGGAGGGGAUUUCAACCUUUUACGCUCUCCUGCGGAUAAAGUAACCUCAACUUCUCUUGGCCUCUUGCCGAUGCUUUCAAUAGGUUCAUUAGGGAUUGCGCCUUGCAUGAACUACCUAGGGUGGGAGCUCAUUUUACCUGGACUAAUCAUCAGGCUAACCCGGUCCGAUCGGUGUUGGAUCGCGUCUUCAUUUGCUCGAACUGGGACUCCUUAUUUCCUCGUGCGUCUUUGA